AUGGAGUUCCCAUCAUGAGUCAGCGGUGCCAAACCUGACUAGUGUCCAUGAGGGCAUGGGUUCAAUCCCUGGCCUUGAUCAGUGGGCUAAGGAUCCAGCAUUGCUGUGACCUGUGGUGUAGGUCACAGACAUGCCUCAGAUCCUGUGUUGCUGUGGCUAUGGCGUAGGCUGGCAGCUGCAGCUCCGAUUCAACCCCUAGCCGGAGAAGUUUUGUGUGCUGCGGGUGCGGCCAUGAAAAAAAAAUAAGAAAGAAAGAAAGAAAGAGAGAGAGAGAGAGGGAGAGAGAGAGAGAGAGAGAGAGAGAGAGAGAGAGAAACCAAAUGCAUUGUAUAAAUCAGUGCUGUCCCAGUGCAAAAAUUUUAAAUCCUUGCACAAGGUAGAAAAAAAAAUCUCCACUUUCAGCAGUCUAGAAAGCUCUUAAGAAUAGGUCCUAUAUGAGUUUUAGCCCACUGUCAGCAUUCAGCAAAUGAUCACAUCUUCUGUGAUAUCAUGAGUUCCCAGAUGGAUGAAAGCGAAAAGCUUCCCUGCUCCUCCUGAAACUUUCAAUUACUCUUUCUGUUUUUCUUUCUCAGCUUAUCCACAUCCAUCUUGGUCCCCAAAGCCAUUGCAUGUCAGAUAGUCAGUGCAAAGAGUAAUUUUUAAUUUGCUUCUUUGUUGUUUUAGAAGGAUUCUUUUGUUGUUUUGUUUCCUUUUGGUUUGGUUGCUUUUUCUUGGUCUCAGGCUUUCUACCAAGGGAGUAUCUCAUCGUUAUGGUCCAUGCAUUCUCCUAGACAGGAUGAAAAGCAAAGUUUAAUGUGUGCCUACUAAGUGAUGACGAGCUAUAGCUUCCUAUUUAUGAAGAUAACACCACCGGUUAUUAACUAAUCAGGAAGAAAUAGCUGCAACUCAAAGGGGUUUGUGCCUUUCCCAAGUCAGGAUAAUAGUGACCUGGCUCUAUGCCUUUCCUACCAAUCCUGUUACCUCACUUGGCUUUGCCCCACCUCAACUCCUGCCUAGGACCUCCACGAUCUACCCUUAUAACCGACAUGCACACUUUACUGGAUCACAGUUGCUUGGAACUCCCCAUCUGAGUGGGAGUUGAUUGCCUGCCCCCUAAGGAUAGGGGCCAGCUUAGCCAGGAGAUCAACUAAGAUGAGAGAAUGGCAAGACAAAUAGCCUAAUAGGUGAUACAGAGUGUAUUCCUCCUCAUACUCCCAAUUCUAAGCCUUUUUUAAAAGGUAGGACAUGGUCAACUCAGGUGCCCUUUUGAUACUGGAGUAUGUCCUUGCAUUUGAUAUCAUCCCCUCCUUCUGAUAACAAAGCUUCAUCUUUUCUAUAAGUCCCAGGCCUAUGGAUGGUUCUAGCCUUACAAUGCCUUAAGUGAUGACUUCCCUAAGCAUUGAGUAUUGUGUAACUCCAUGUAUUACAUGUAGAAAAUCUCAUCUUGUUGGAGAAGAAUGAUCUCUCUAUUUUUUAUUUUUAUAACUAUAUGGUAGCAAAGAAGUGUGUCAUAUACUUUCUUUGGUAAUGACUUAAGGUCACAAACCACUUUGGGCAAUUAAUAUGUUUUAAGGAUAAAGAAGAACUUGUAUUUCCUGAAGAUUAAGAAAACUAUCUAUCUGAAAGAUAGAGCCACCCAGUACUAAUCUAUAAAUAAAGUGCUUUAUCAAAUAAAGUUCAGAUUAAUUAUUUUCCUUCACUCUUAUAUCAACACUGCAAACUUUUCUGCCAAAAAAAUCAUCAAGUAAUAGAGAAAAAUGAACCCUAGAUAGAGCAGAAGGGGCCAAACAUAAGCAUAGCAAAAGUUCAAGGUGUAAAUAUAUUUAUAGCUAAAAAGAUAAAUUGUGGUCAUUUUUGUGUGUAUUUAUAUAUACACAUAUAGAGAGAGAGAUGGGGGAGUAAGAGGAAGAAAUUUUCUCCUUUUUUUUUUUUUUUUUUUUUUUUUGUCUUUUCUAGGGCCACAUCCACAGCAUAUGGAGGUUCCCAGGCUAGGCGUAAAAUUGGAGCUGUAGCUGCCAGCCUACACCACAGCCACAGCAAUUCUGGAUCCAAGCUGUGUCUUUGACCUACACCACAGCUCAAGGCAACACCAAAUCCUUAACUCCACUGAGCAAGGCCAGGGAUUGAACCUGUGUCCUCAAGGAAGAAAGUUUCUUAACGGCAGGCCUGUGAUACAUACCCUGGGGAGUGAGGGGCAUGAAAGACCUUCACUCAACAGACCACCUUAUAAACAUGUUAAUGACCUCCCAGACCCCCUUGUUAAUCUUGUUAGUGGUAUUUAACUAGCAGAAAGAUACCUGAAAGUCCCUAUCCUAUAAAAGAUUUUUAGCGGGAUAUACCUGGUCUGGCUACUUGACUUACUGUAAAUAAACCAAGAAUUUAUGUACUUACGAGUAUGACUGGAUGGAAAAUAGGGCACAGUCAUGUGAGCAUUUUCGUAUUUUUGUCAUUAAUAGAUGAUAAAAUGGAAACCUUUGGAAACUGAAAUGGCUUCCUUCCAAUAUCACUAUCUAUGCAUAAAUGUUUUGAAAUGUUUCUACUAAUUUGAAACCAAAACAUAUCAUAAUGUAAAAGAGUAGAGAUAUUUGGGGGCAGUGUAUCUGAUUAUUUCAGGUUCCUCCAGAGGAAGAAUGUUUUAUCUGUGCCUGGAGUUUCCCUAUUAUCCUUUGAUUCAUUAGUAAAGAUCAGUACUAGAUAAAAUCUAUGAUUCAUGUGAGUACAAUUUGAAAUUGAACCCUUUAUACUUAUGCAAUGUAUAUUUAUUUUAACUUUGCUAUAAUAAAAAGAGAAGAAAAGAAGAAUGAAUGGGUCCAUAUAUUUUCCCUUAUCGUGUUGUUGCCAGUUCUAGGAAAUCACAGGUCUAAGUAAAGGUCAGGAUCAAGACCAGUGAGAGAUAAAACACUUAGACAUUUCUAUAUUGAAAAUUAUAUAAAUGACAUUUAAUUUUUUAAAGUUAUCUUAAAAUGGUUUUUUGAGAUAUCAAGGACCACUGUAAAUACCUUGAAGCCCUAAGUCAUCUUUAUUGUUUGUUUGUUUGUUUGUUUUGUCUUUUUAGGGCCACACGCAUGGCAUAUGGAGGUUCCCAGGCUAGGGGUCUAAUCAGAGCUGUAGCCGCCAGCCUACACCACAGCCACAGAAAUGCCAGAUCAGAGCCAGGUCUGCUACCUACACCACAGCUCAUGGCAACACCGGCUCCUUAACCCACUGAGCGGGGGCAGGGAUUGAACCUGCAAUCUCAUGGUUCCUAGUCAGAUUUGUUUCCACUGCACCAUGACGGGAACUCCCUACUGUUUAUUACCUCUUGAAAUAUUUUUGGUAAUUUGCAGAUCCCUUGUUUCCCUAAUUAAGCUGUAAACUCCUUGACAAUGCUUGUGCAUUAUGCAUCUUUGCACCAUCCUUAGCACUUUAUUAUCUCAUACAUAAGAAAUUGAUAAUGAAUACUUAAUAAUUUGUUUUGUUUGAUUUUGAGGAUUAAGCGCAUUCUUGGCAAUUUACCUCUGAUCCUAAUAGGCAGUUUUAUAUUUAUUUAUUUUUAUUUUUAUUUUCCCACUGUACAGCAAGGGGGUCAGGUUAUCCUUACAUGUAUAAUAGGCAGUUUUAUAAAGGAAUAGAUAAUAACAGAUUAGAGGUGUUCCAUAUAAUGUUUUUAUUCUAAGUAAGCUAACUGAAAUUACAGUUGACUAAAUGAUAUUUUGGAAUCAAUUUUGACCAUUGGUUCAUUCAUUUUCUUUGUUUCAUUUGGCUGAGGGCAGAGAGAAGUACUUAAUGUGAUGGGAUGCCUGGUUGAACUGUCUAUAAACCAAAAAUCUUUGAAAAUCACUGUUUUUAAAGAAAGCAUUUUAAGUGAAUGUAUUCCUAUAGUAGUUCCUUGCCAAAACUGUUGUGAGGAUAUCUAGGAAAAUGUCUUCAAAUUCUAUUUCUCUCAAAAUGCACAGGUUACUUGAGGAGCUAAGGUUGUUCAGUGAGCUCAUGUCAGCUUAUGUCUUAAUAUUAAAAGAUUUUGAAAGAGGUUGGAAUGAGGUAGGUGGUAGAAUCUGAGAGAGACAUGACAGCAGAGUCAUAGGCAUCCAGUGGGGAAAAAAAGAUCUCAAGUUUGGAAUUUAAUUAUAUUCACCCAGUUCCUGCCAUUUGCUGAUAAGUAUUAAUGUCAUUUAUCAAGCACAGAAAAUAGAUUAAAUGCAUAAAUGUCUAAUAUUGAUAAAAAAAAAGAUAUCCAUGGCUUUUUUUUUUUCAAAUACAGCUUAGUUUUAUUGUUGUUGUUUUGCUAGGGGGGGAAGUCUUCUCAUUGUAUCUUUUCUUUUUUUGUGUGUCUUUUUAGGGCUGCACCUGUGGCAUAUGGAAGUUCCAAGGCUAGGGGUUAAAUUGGAGCUGCAGCUGCCCGCCUACACCACAACCACAGCAACACCAGAUCCGAGCUACAUCUGCGACCUACACCACAGCUCAUGCUAAUGCUGGAUCCUUAACCUACUGAGCAAGGCCAUGUAUGAAACCCGAGUCCUCAUGAAUACUAGUUGCACUUGUCACCGCUGAGCCAUGACACGACCUCCUAAUUAUAUUUUUCAAAAUAGAUUUUAUUGUCAAGGAACUUACAGUUGUUUAUCUAACUCGUUAUUUCAUAGACUCGGCCACCAAACUGUUUUUUUUUUACUAUAAGCACUGCAGAGUAGCAAAAAUCAUCCUUACUCUGUCAGCCUUGUUCAUCAUCAACAAAAUUGCCAGUUAUAUUCCAAGUCCUUGAGUGUAUUCCUUGAGAAGAGGAUAUAUAAACAGAAAAGAAACAGCUCAAUGUUGAGGUAGAAGUUUGAUCUUUCUCUACUAGCUGGUAGAUUCAAAGCAUAGUAAUCUUGUUUUGACUCGUGAACUGGAAAAAAUUAAUAUGGGAGGAUGGAGAAAACAUGUUCAAACUGCAAAGUCAUUUUUCCUGAGAAGUUAUCUGACUGUAACUUUAACUAAAACUAAGAGUAUAUCAGAGGGCUCAGAUGUGGAAUAUUUCUUUAAAAUUAAAACCUAGGAAUCCUGAUGUCCAAUAGAAUGUAUAAAAAUAGCUGCAUCUGAAGGCUCUGGGAUAAGCACAGAAAUAUUGAAUAACAUCUGGUAAUUUGGGCCAUACCUUUAUAAUAGUUGCUGUGGUCCCAAAAAUAUAGAAUUAAUUCAAUAAAACACUGGGAAAAUAUAAACAUAAAAUAUUUGAAAUUAAAAAUACUGAAUAAGAACAGGGAAAAAUAAUUCCCCAGCAGAUCAAUAUUGCUUGGGGAAGCAUGAAUCCCAGACCAGAAAUAUUUUUAUCCAAAUAACGUCUAGUUCUGUAGUGAACAAAAACUUUUAUCACCAAAUUUCAUAAACAGUAAUGUGAAGAAAACUAUACUUAGGAUUAUUGGAUAUACUUCUCAAAGAUGGUAAGUUUAUUCAGUUUCAUGCUUGAUUCUAUCAACUUCUGCUGAAUUUAUUCAUAGUACUCUGUCAACUGAGGAUUCUUUUUUUUCCUCUUGUCCUUGCCUAAAUAUAUGUAUUACAAAAUAAAAAUAAAGAUGUAAAUAAUUACAAAGAUUGGGAGUUCCCUUCAUGGCUCAGUGGUUAAGGAACCUGACUAUUAUCCAUGAGGAUGCAGUUCAAUCCCUGGCCUUGCUCAGUGGGUCAAGAAUCUGGCAUUGCCGUGAGCUGUUGUGUAGGUCGCAGAUGUGGCUCAGAUCCCAUAUUGCUGUGGCUGUAGUGUAGGCUUGCAUCUACAGCUUCAAUUUGACCCCUAGCCUGGGAACUUUCAUAUGCCAUAGUUGUGGCUCUAAAAAGACAAAAGACAAAAAAAAA
rnacentral:lncRNA from 1 species